AUGGUCACUUCGGCAGCACAUAUACUAAAAUUGGAACGAUACAGAGAAGAUUAGCAUGGCCCCUGUGCAAGGAUGACAUGCAGAUUCGUGAAGCUUCCAUAUUUUUA
ensembl:snRNA U6 U6 spliceosomal RNA